rnacentral:sRNA from 1 species
UAGGGUAUAAAAGUCAAUAAUACGUACAUGCUUGCAUGUUAAGUAUUAUGACUUUGAUAGCCGAACAAACAUGAGAAAAUAGCAAUUUGCUAUGCAAAUUAGCGUUUUUCGAAUGUUUGUAGAAUUGCGAGAAUGACGUAUGUCAUGGAGCAAUUCGU